UUCAUUCUUUCCCCAAACGCGUAUCCGCUCUCAAUCUCUCUUCUCUCAAUCUCUCGACGCUCCUCACCUCACGUUACCUCACAUUCCUCUCAGCGAAACCCUCUCUCCAUCGCGCCUCUCUCACAAACUCCAACCAAAAUUGUUCUCUCAAUCGUACCUCUCUCACUCAAUCGAUAUCUCCUACGCAAAGGCGGAAAAGAAAGAAAGGUUUAAAAGGAAAGAAUCCAAGGCGAAUGCUGACCUUUGGCGGUGAUUCGGCGAUGGCAGCGAGCUUGCAAUGGGCUCUCUUUGUUGGGUUUCAAAGUUCUCCGCCGUUGAUUGCAACCAGCUAGGGUUUCAAUUGGUGUUUUUUUGUGUUCAAAGGAGUAUCCUUGCGAAUUACUUUUGAUCUACUCAGAAACGAAUUGCCCUGUUUAAUGCUAAAACCGAAAAUGAUAUUCUGGGCUCGCUGCUUUCUUCUUCAUUUCUGUCUUAACUCUGUUUUGGGUAAUCUUCUGAACUUUACUGCCUUGACUAAUUACUUUGUGUUUUUUUCUCUUUUUUUUUUUUUUUACCGCAGUGAAGAUUCUCUUGUAACCUUGAGGUUGUGGAUGCUGCAUUUGAGGAUGAGGAUGAACAUGAAGCUCAACAUAUGCCUGCUGGUAUUGAUUCUGGUCCAGGGUAUUUGCUGCAAGUUGUUUCACGUUUUGACUUGGCUCUAAACUUGGUCGGUCCAUAGUACUUGGUGCACCUGGAAGAGACACCGAGCCACUGCCAACAAUAGCAUCCUCUGAACUAUCCUUGCAAUGUUUUGAAGCUGUUUCUAACUUUAGAAUCCAAUGUAAUAGAGGUAGACGUGUUUAAAUUAUCGGCCAUCCUGUCACAUUCUGUGAUGUAACUUGCAGAUCCACCCUGCCCUUGCUGUCUAGUCUCUAAAGUUACAUCCUCAGUGUUUAACUAUGUAACACUAACACCCUGUUUGAGUUGAUUAAAUUCUGUCCCACCGUCACUAACAUUUUUACAUCCCUGAAGAGUUGAAACGGUCUGUCUUAAUUGUUUAUCCUCUUGGGAUAAUUCAUCUACCUUAGCACUAUUAUGAUUGUUCAAACUAACGGCUUGAGUAACAGGUCCUCCAACUGAAACACAAGCAGACACUUGUCUAGAACAAAUGGUCUUUUCCUCAAGUGACACAGAAGGCAGGCUCUCACUGGCAGCUGAUAAUGUGCCUGAAGCUGCUGCUGAUAAAUCUUUACAGGCAAUUGCUGCAGAAUGUGUUGUAGGUGCUUUAGUUCUGUUUGGUUGCUGGGCUGAUUUUGCCAAUGACAAUGCUCAGAUACGAUACUUGAUACUUUCCAGCCUUGUUUCUCCUCAUGAUUGUGAGGUAAAGGCAUCAUUGUUUGCUGCCGGAUGCUUUUGUGAAAUAUCCGAUGAUUUUGCAUGUAUUACAUUGGAGAUCCUGUUUAACAUUAUGAAUUCACCCGCAGCAUCCUUGCCUAUAAAAUUGGCUGCAGCAAGAAUAUUUGCAAAAUUCAAGUGCUCAUAUUCAGUUGCAAAGAAAGCAUAUAAGAUAGGUUUGGAGCUAAUAUCAAAUUCUUUAAAUGAAGAUAUUCUUGUUAUCAUGCUAUUCUCAAUUUCAAAGUUGGCAUCCAUUUCUACACUUCUUACCUCCAAUCUUCAACUGCAUCGUCUGGUACUGGAUUUGAAAGAUGCACCUCUCGAUAUACAAAAGCAAAUGCAACUUCAUUAUGAGGAGGAGCAAAAAAUGAAAUAAUAUCACCAUGGCAGACUUUGACAGCAGCACUAUUCUUUUUCAACUUCUCCCAGUUAAGAAUUUGAAUCAAUCUGGAAACGCACAUUUUCUACCAACCGUCCAAGGCAGUUCUCAUCAGCAGGUUAGGCGUUGCAGCAGGUUGGUAUAGCAGGGCAAAUGCAGCAUGAUGGAAGUUAAUUGGCAAAGCAAGAUUCCAAAGGUUCAAGGUGUGACCAUGUUGACAUUAAAGUGAAGAAGCCAAGCAAAAGUGGUUAAACCAAAGAUCACAUGGACAUGGAUAAUGUCAUGAGAGUUAGGACUAGUCAUUUAGUGAUUAAGGAUGACCAAUGGCAUAGGGUUGACUUUGGUCAAAGUUGACCAAAAAGUCAACUGUUGACCAAAGUCAACAAUUGGUUAAAAUUCAAUUUUAUUUGCAUUUUUCUUGUAAAUGGACAAAUGAUUGAUGAUUGUGGUAAAAAUUAGGGCUUUUGGAUUUUGGAUUGACUUUGGUCAAUGUUGACCAAAAAGUCAACUGUUGACCAAAGUCAACAAUUG